UGAAACUGGUCUCAGGCAGUGUGUCAGUUCUCAUCACAGCACACGUGCAUCUGUGUCUCAUGCUGAGACAUUGGGACAUCUCUCCUCAAAACAUCUUUUGCUCCAGCAGAGCACCAGCCAUGGAAUACCAUCUGUUUCCAAUCCGAAAAGAAUGGUCGGACCAAAAGAUGGAUUCAGCAGGAGCAGACCAAGUCAGGACCACUGUGACACAACAGGGCAUUCUCCUUGGCCAGCAUUCCUCACAGUUAACGGCCACCUCCAGGGAAGUUGACCUACUGACAGCCCAGAUGCUCCUUUGUUCCUGCGCUCCACUGCUCCUUCGCUCCAUUGGAUCACCUGCAAAAGACAAUCUAUUACCCUCAGCUAAGAGACUUGAAUUCCUUUACUACUUCGAUUUUACUCACUCUCAGACUGUUGCCUUUCAUCCUGCUGC
ensembl:lncRNA